UAAACAAAAGUCCCAUCAGAGUGGAAUGCAUAUAUACUUUUUUUUGAACUGAAAAAACUGCAUAUUAAUAUUUUAAGAAAUCAGUGAAAGGCAGGUAUCAAUUACAAUUACAUAACAGUACAACUAAUUUGUUGAUAAUAAUUGUAUAUUACAAUUUCAUUCGUUCCCAAAUUCUUCAACUGUUUUAGUUGCAAGCGUAAGGAUGUCCGUGAAAGCAGAAAAUGAUGCUCGAAGAAAUCUCGCCUCCACUGCCUCAAAGUGCACUGAUAACUUCCCACCAGAGAUUGACAUGUGUCUUUUUACUUUGUCUGGCUGCAACUCCUUAUCGACUGCUAGGGCUGCAUGGACAAUGGCAGCAUUCUCCUCGGACUCAAAAUCUACUUCCAAGUCACUGCAGGUGAUUAUUUAUUUAUGUCAAACAAUGUCAUAUAAAGAAAUUCUGUUAGGUAAAGAAAUAUAUCUUAAUAUCGUAGUAUUGUGUAAAUUAAAUAGAUAUAAUGUCAAAGGGAAGGUGAUAAUAAUAAAGGGUCACCAUAUUCAUAUAAUUCUUUGGGAUUAUUCAAAUAUUAUGAAAUCAAGGGCAUCUUGCCAUAUGCUUUAGAACUUUCAACAUAGAGAUUCUAUAUAGGCUAGCUCAUUUUUCAAAAUCAGCAACAUUAUAUCAUUUUAGUACAGGAUAAUUCACAUCUCUGGCCUGAUUGAAUAACCAUCUUUGAACAGCAAAUCUGAAGGAAACAAUAGACUGGAAUCCAACAAUUGUUACGAGAAUUUAGUGAAGUUCUGAUAUAAUAAAUUCAAGGCCUUAAGAUUGUAGCUGAUAACACCUUAAAGCAUGCUAAGAAUAUCUAAUCCCUUCUAACAAUGUCCAAGGGCUGCACUGGUUGGUUACCUCAUAAUCCCUCUACAGCUGUCACACUUGAAAAUUAAACUAUGUAGAGAACAUUAAGUAUUCUAAAAAUAAUCAUUCUAAUUGAAAAAAUAAGUAGGUUUCUUCUACCUCCCUUUAAUGUAUUUUUACUUCUCUGUACACUGGAAAAUAAACUUGGUUUUCAUUU
rnacentral:misc_RNA from 1 species